UGCUUAUUCAGAAAGACGGAGGGAUUAGACCCUGCGAAGUCUUAGCAACCUGUGCUAACAAGGUGCUACAUUCUAUCCCGAAUAUUUCGGGAACAGAUAAGUU
rnacentral:ncRNA from 2 species